UGUCCUUUCUCGCUUUCUCUCUGUCUUCAGCUUUCAUGCGCUGCUUUUCUUCUUCAAAUCCGACUAUCAGCAACGCUGGUGUAUGGGCAUUUCCGUUGGGGUCAAAAGCAAGGCUCUCACGGCCAAAUGCUAAGUGGAGCUGGACGGUUUUAACGCCGUGGAGCUAAAAAAAAUUCGAGUUUUCAUCCCUAUUAUAUUAGAAAUAAACAUGAAGAUGAAGAACACUGAAAGACUCGCAAAUUUGUCUUUAGCAGGGACAGCUUAACAAUGGAAGGUUAAAAGAUUUAAGGGUAAUUUUGGUCUUAAAGGAAGCUUCUCCAGAAGCUUCAUCUGCUUUUAUUCUCCAGAAGUUUCAUCUCACAGAAAGGUAAUCAGGGAAGGGGAAAUUCAUGCUAUACACAGUCUCAAAAGCACUCCAAGAAACAAAGAGAGCAGUUUGCACCAAAACUACGCCAGCUUGGACCACCAGGGCUGGCCAGGCCACCAAUCUGGCUUAGUUGUCCUCACCAAAGUCAGCUUAUUCAACUCCUGAAGUUGCCACCCUCAUCCACCACCGUGGCCUUGCCGAUGGUGGCGUUGAUUAUUGUGAACCUACGGUGAAUUUUUGGGAAGAUCCCAUGAACCUAUCUAAAUGGAAAGAAGAGCAUGAAAGGUUGUGAUUGUUUCUUUAAUAGGCUGGGGUUUACUCUUUUACGGAGGGUAUAAGUAUUUCACUAGAGGCAAGAAAGAAGUGAAAGAAGAAAAGCUAAUCAUUUUUUUAAACCUUUUUUUUACUAAUUGACUAUUCAUUUUUUGGUCAUCCAAUGCAUGUUUCGUUUUUAAUUAAAAAAAAAAAAAAAAAACUCUUAAGGAUACACAUUUGCUCAGUUUCUAUAUGGUUGAACCUUUCCUAUGGUGUGACUGUGAAUAUUACAGAUUUACCGAGACAUUUGCUCAGUAAAUCUUCUCAUUGGAGGUGAUUCUCAAUCUUUUUAAAUAUUUUUGUUUCAUUUUUCCUUUGAAUUAAGAAAGUUCUACAGUUUCGGCUGGAAAUAGGCAAAUCAAUAACCCUAGCUCCAUUGGUGGCCUUUCGGCAAAUGAACAUGCUGAAGGAGCAACUUUUGAUCCCUUAAUUAGAAGGAAAGCGUGGACGAGAUGGCCUGAAGACAACAACUUCUAUGAAGCUGUAAUUGCUUAUAUCAAUCCCUUUGAGGGGCGACAUGCUCUGGUUUAUGAUAUAAAUACAACAAAUAAGACUGAGAAUGGGUUUGGAGAGGGUAGAAAAGGACCCUUGCCUCGACUCUUCUAUGAAUGAUAAAGAUCAAUUAGAUCUAAUGAAAUGCAAAUGAAGAACAAAAGUUUGAGGUUCUUUUGUUUCUUCUCGCUUGCUUCAACUGCUUUAGAUUUAAAUUGAUGGCUGAACUUAAUCUGAAGUCUAUAUGCUAGUAAUGUAUGUUAAAUUCUUUGAGUUGUAAAUGGUGCUACACAUUUUACUUCAUUAAGAGUACAAUAUUCUUCUAUUUAUGCAUAUCAGAUUUUGGAACUACAAAGUCGAAUUGAGAAAAACAAUUUAAUUUUAAAGUCUUUACACACUGUUGAGUUUUGCUCACAGUUUGAGUUUUCUGUCAAAACAAGCUUGCAGCAUAG